AUUGAACGCUGGCGGCAGGCCUAACACAUGCAAGUCGAGCGAGCGGCGGACGGGUGAGUAAUGUCUGGGAAACUUCCUGAUGGAGGGGGAUAACUACUGGAAACGGUAGCUAAUACCGCAUACCAUCAGAUGUGCCCAGAUGGGAUUAGCUAGUAGGUGGGGUAACGGCUCACCUAGGCGACGAUCCCUAGCUGGUAUGAGAGGAGGACCAGCCACACUGGAACUGAGACACGGUCCAGACUCCUACGGGAGGCAGCAGUGGGGAAUAUUGCGCAAUGGGCGCAAGCCUGAUGCAGCAAUGCCGCGUGUGUGAAGAAGGCCUUCGGGUUGUAAAGCACUUUCAGUGGGGAGGCGUUACCCGAAGAAGAAGCACCGGCUAACUCCGUGCCAGCAGCCGCGGUAAUUC
rnacentral:rRNA from 1 species